GCCCGCUUGGCUAAGUGGUAUAGCGUGUCACUAGUAGAACUUCUUGUUUCUUCAAUGCCAUGACAAGAUCAGCGGUUCGAUUCCGCUAGUGGGCA